AUUGAACGCUGGCGGCAUGCCUAACACAUGCAAGUCGCACGCGAAAGGGGGCAACCCUGAGUAGAGUGGCGGACGGGUGAGUAACGCGUAGGAAUCUACCUGGUAGUGGGGGACAACCCGGUGAAAACCGGGCUAAUACCGCAUACGAUCCACGGAUGAAAGCAGGGGACCGCAACGCCUUGCGCUAUCGGAUGAGCCUGCGUCGGCUUAGCUAGUUGGUGGGGUAAAGGCCCACCAAGGCGACGAUCCGUAGCUGGUUUGAGAGAACGACCAGCCACACUGGGACUGAGACACGGCCCAGACUCCUACGGGAGGCAGCAGUGGGGAAUAUUGGACAAUGGGGGCAACCCUGAUCCAGCAAUGCCGCGUGUGUGAAGAAGGCCUUCGGGUUGUAAAGCACUUUCGGUGGGGACAAACAAGGUGGAGCUAACAUCUCCGCCUCUGAUGGUACCCAAAGAAGAAGCACCGGCUAACUCUGUGCCAGCCGCCGCCGUAA
rnacentral:rRNA from 1 species